AUUGAACGCUGGCGGCAUGCCUUACACAUGCAAGUCGAACGGCAGCACGGGUGCUUGCACCUGGUGGCGAGUGGCGAACGGGUGAGUAAUACAUCGGAACGUACCUUAUCGUGGGGGAUAACGCAGCGAAAGUUGCGCUAAUACCGCAUACGCCCUGAGGGGGAAAGCGGGGGACCGUAAGGCCUCGCGCGAUUAGAGCGGCCGAUGCCUGAUUAGCUUGUUGGUGAGGUAAAAGCUCACCAAGGCGAUGAUCAGUAGCUGGUCUGAGAGGACGAUCAGCCACACUGGGACUGAGACACGGCCCAGACUCCUACGGGAGGCAGCAGUGGGGAAUUUUGGACAAUGGGGGCAACCCUGAUCCAGCAAUGCCGCGUGAGUGAAGAAGGCCUUCGGGUUGUAAAGCCCUUUUGUCAGGGAAGAAACAGCAGCUCUAACACAGUCUGCGAAUGACGGUACCUGAAGAAUAAGCACCGGCUAACUACGUGCCAGCCGCCGCAGUAA
rnacentral:rRNA from 1 species